AAGAAAGCUCAGCCCCACGCAGAGUGCCCGGGGUAGUGGGUGGCUCAGCAGCCGCUGCUGCUCGGGGAGGCACAAGAAGGAGGAAGCAGAAGGCACCCUGAGACGGCAGCGUGGGAGGGCCACUGGGGCAGGAGGUGAGCCGCAGCUGCUAAGGUGGCCAAGGACGUCACGAGCAAAAGCACAGCACCAGGAUGAGUUUGCUAUUCGUGGACAACAGCAAGGAGACCCGCCUGACCUGCUGCAGGACUUGCGACAGGGAGUCACGGGAGCUUCCUGCCUCAUAGGCUCCCGGAGGGAGGGCCCCCGGCGCACGGGGAGCCGCGGGGAGCGCCGGUCUUUGGACCGGCGGCUCACUCCCUGCCUCGUAGGCCCUGGAAGGAGGGCUUCCGGCGCACAGGGAGCCACGGGCGGGGAGUGCCCGUCUUCCAGCUGGCUAGCUUCCUGCCUCAAAGGCCCCUGGAGGGAGGGCCCCCAGCACUUGGGGAGCCAUGUGGCGGCAAGCGCUGUUGCGCGCCAGCCCUUAGGCCGGCUGCCGCCGCUCAAUUGAGAUCUAUCAUGACACAGAGAAACAGUGACACAAUUGGCCCACCAUGCACCGACUGCAGUUGCCCACCCACAGACGUGUGUGAAUCAUGCAAACUUUGAACAACCCCUGGGAAUACAUGCCAUACAACGGGCCACUCUUGCUCCUGCCAUUGAGAACCAGAAAGGUCCAGAGCCAGCGGAGGAGCAGCUGCUGAACAAGGACUCAGAGAACAUGAGAAUGCAGACUAAGCCCACAGAGUCAGAGGUCCAGUGGACUGGGGUCAUGAGAGCCACUCAGAAGCUGUAAACCAGGAGGACCUUGCACAAUACCUGCAGAGACUCACUGGAAGCCAUUCUUCCCCUGACAGUACAGGCUGUGGUGGAGCUCUGGAGAAGUCUGCAGCAGGAUUCCUUCUGCCUGUGCUGACAGUUGGGGAGAGGACACUAACUGGUUGUGGGGUCACAAUGUGAUGGGAGACUGGAGAGAAAACGCUACAAAAAAUGGCUUUCGCCCCAGACAACUCACUUGAUUUUUGACAACCCUUAGGCUGUAACUACUUGUUAGAUCCUUCUUGUGUAUCUCUGUCUUCCUGAGAAACCACUUUGAAGAUACCACUAUGUAUCAUAGCAGCCAUUGAUAUUUUCCUACUAAUCUCUCCGUAACUCUGUAAUGUUUGCAUUGUUCCUAUCCUAUUUCAUAAAUGGAUCCAUGUUUAUUAUUAAAAAAAAUUUUAAAAAUACAAAAAUAAAAUAUUCACCCUCUAUUUAGGCUGUAAUACGGUGUUGAGGGACGCAAGGAUCAGUUGUC
rnacentral:lncRNA from 1 species